rnacentral:rRNA from 1 species
AACGAACGCUGGCGGCAUGCCUAACACAUGCAAGUCGAACGAUUGCCUUCGGGUGAUGGUGGCGCCCGGGUGCGUAACGCGUGGGAAUCUGCCCUUGUGUUCGGAAUAUCACCUGGAGACGGCUUCUAAUACCGGAUGAUAUCGCCGGAUCAAAGCUUUUUCGCCUGAGGAUGAGGUCGCGUUGGAUUAGGUUGGUGGUGGGGUAAAGGCCUACCCAGCCGACGAUUCAUAGCUGGUCUGAGAGGAUGAUCAGCCACGCUGGGACUGAGACACGGACCAGGAUGGGACGGAAGGGAGCAGUGGAGAGUAUUGUACAAGGGGGGCAAGUGUGAUCCAGCAACGCGGGGUGAGUGAUGAAGCCGGUAGGGAUGUAAAGCUCUUUUAGCCGGGAAGUGAAUGACGGUACUGGGAGAAGAAGCCCCGGCUAACUACGUG